GUGCUCGCUUCGGCGGCAUAUACACUAAAAUUGGAAAAAUACAGAGAUUAGCAUGGUCCCUGUGCAAGGAUGACAAGCAAAUUUGUGAAGCAUUGCAUAUAUAU